GGAAGCGUGCCCGAAAGU
rnacentral:tRNA from 1 species